rnacentral:rRNA from 1 species
AUCAUCCGAUCCCUAGUCGGCAUAGUUUAUGGUUAAGACUACGACGGUAUCUGAUCGUCUUCGAUCCCCUAACUUUCGUUCUUGAUUAAUGAAAACGUCCUUGGCAAAUGCUUUCGCAGUAGUUAGUCUUCAAUAAAUCCAAGAAUUUCACCUCUGACAAUUGAAUACUAAUGCCCCCAACUAUCCCUAUUAAGCAUUACGUCGAUCCUAGAAACCAACAAAAUAGAAUCAAACGUCCUAUUUCAUUAUUCCAUGCUAAUGUAUUCAAGCGUUAGCUUGCUUUAAACACUCUAAUUUUUUCAAAGUAACAGUCCAAAUUCCCCGCAACACCAAAUUAAUGGCAUUACGGCUCAUCAGGAAGGAGGAAUCAGUGAGACCAGUACAUACCAGAGGCAUGACCAACCUACUAACCCCGAAAUUCAACUACGAGCUUUUUAACUGCAACAACUUUAAUAUACGCUAUUGGAGCUGGAAUUACCGC